UGGCACCCAAUGUGGGGCUUCUGGCACAGGGGAGUCAAUGAGGGAGCCAUUUGAGAACGCCGGCUAAAAGUGGAAGCAAAUUGAAUCAAGGACUGAGACUAAAAGUAAAAGCACAUUGACUCAAGGACUGAGGCCUGCGCAGAUAACUGCCCAACGUGCCGCCUGAGGCAUGGUGAGUGAACAGCAACCCCAUUCCCUUUCCCGGACAUGGGUCAAGCGUUAAGUGAACAUAAAUUGUUCAUGGGAGGCCUUAGCAAGGCAUUAAAGACAAGAGGGGUAAGGGUUAGAACAAAAGAAUUGUUGCAGUAUUUUCAAUUUAUUCAUAAAGUUUG
rfam:Cavia porcellus supercont2_35 genomic scaffold, whole genome shotgun sequence.